rnacentral:rRNA from 1 species
UGAACGCUGGCGGCGUGCCUACUACAUGCACGUCGAGCGAACGGACGAGAAGCUUGCUUUUCUGAUGUUAGCGGCGGACGGGUGAGUAACACGUGGAUAACCUACCUAUAAGACUGGGAUAACUUCGGGAAACCGGAGCUAAUACCGGAUAAUAUUUUGAACCGCAUGGUUCACAAGUGAAAGACGGUCUUGCUGUCACUUAUAGAUGGAUCCGCGCUGCAUUAGCUAGUUGGUAAGGUAACGGCUUACCAAGGCAACGAUGCAUAGCCGACCUGAGAGGGUGAUCGGCCACACUGGAACUGAGACACGGUCCAGACUCCUACGGGAGGCAGCAGUAGGGAAUCUUCCGCAAUGGGCGAAAGCCUGACGGAGCAACGCCGCGUGAGUGCUGAAGGUCUUCGGAUCGUAAAACUCUGUUAUUAGGGAAGAACACAUGUGUAAGUAACUGUGCACAUCUUGACGGUACCUAAUCAGAAAGCCACGGCUAACUACGUG